UCUGAGAGAACAAAAGAGAGCAUUUACAUCCCUGUUAAAUUCUCAUUAGACUAACAACUCACUAUGUAACAAUUUACAAAUGAAUGGCUUCCUGUUCUGUGUGGAAUCAGAAAUUGUCUGGCUUGAACAGCUUAUUUACAUACAAGCAUGAAACAUACAUAGCCUAGACAAAACCUCUCCUUGGGGACCCCCAGAUCAGGUAUUUCACAAUUUUGUUGUAGUCCUAAACAAGCUCACCUGAUUCACAUAGUAAGGGCUUUUUGAUAAGUUGCCUAUUGGAAUCAGGUGUGCUAGCCUUGGAAUAGAUAAAAUACCUGGAAUGGCUGGCGUCCCCGGUAAAGAGGUUUGAGAACCACAGGCCUAGACAAUACAAGGAGAGUACAGAUCCCUCAAACUCAACUCUGGACCUCGAAGCCAGUUCCACUGCAUUGUUCCCCUCUUAAUAAGGGAUUGAUUUAGACCUGGUGGGUGCAGCUAGUUAUCAGAGAUAGAGAUGCUCACUUAGAAAUUCUUGUUUUGAAGGGGGAAAAAAAAAAAACAUAUCUCAGACUGGUCAAUAAAAAGAAAAGAUGAAGAUGGGCAAAAGAACAGACACUGGACAGAUGAACUCUGCCUAGAAGGCCAGCAUCCCAGAAUCGCCUCUUCACUGUUGACGUUGAGACUGGUGUUCUGCAGGUACUAUUUAAUGAAGCUGCCAGUUGGACUUGUGAGGCAUCUGUUUCUCAAACUAGACACGAAUGUACUGGCCCUCUUGCUCAGUUGUGCACCGGGGCCUCCCACUCCUCUUUCUAUUCUGGUUACAGCCAACAUUAAUAAUGUCUACAUUGUAUUUCUGAUCAAUUUGAUGUUAUUUUAAAUGGACAAAAAAAUUGCUUUUCUUUAAAAGAAAAGGACAUUAAGUGACCCCAAACUUUAACUGUAUGUGUGACAUAUAUAUCCUAAAAAUAUAUGGGGGAUUGGAAAUGUAGACAAUUACAUUGA